GACGGAGGGGGCUAGCGUUGUUCGGAAUUACUGGGCGUAAAGGGCUCGUAGGCGGCCAACUAAGUCGGAUGUGAAAUCCCCAGGCUUAACCUGGGAACUGCAUCCGAUACUGGAUGGCUUGAAUCCGGGAGAGGGAUGCAGAAUUCCAGGUGUAGCGGUGAAAUGCGUAGAUAUCUGGAGGAAUACCGGUGGCGAAGGCGGCAUCCUGGACCGGCAUUGACGCUGAUGAGCGAAAGCGUGGGGAGCGAACCGG
rnacentral:rRNA from 1 species